AUUGGGGAGAGGUGAUUAGGCAGGACAUGACUAGAAUGCAGGUUUCCGAGGACAUGACCCUUGAUAGGAAAGUCUGGAGGUCUAGAAUCAGGGUUGCAGGAUAGGUCGUACGCCUCAUCCGGGUUGAGAGUGGGUCAGCAGGGUUACCCAUAGAUGAUUUGUGUUUUAGCUUAUGUCCCCCCUAUGGCCGUUAGUUAUAGUAGUUACUGUAUGAUAUUAUUGCAUGCGAUUGUAUUUAUGUUUCUUAUGUUUAGAUAAUUAUN
rnacentral:lncRNA from 1 species